rnacentral:misc_RNA from 1 species
GAUGAAGAACGCAGCGAAAUGCGAUAAGUAAUGUGAAUUGCAGAAUUCAGUGAAUCAUCGAAUCUUUGAACGCACCUUGCACUCCUUGGUAUUCCGAGGAGUACGCCUGUUCGAGUGUUAUGAAGCUCUCAAAACGCAAUUGGCUUAAAACCUGAUUGUUGUUUUGGAUUUGAACUUUGCCGUGUUAUAACGGCUGGUUUUAAAAGUAUUAGCUGGUACUAGAACGAAUUGGUUCUACUCAACGUGAUAAUUAUCUGAUCGUUGAGGACAUUCCUUUCACGAGGAAUGGCCAUAGUAAAUUCAAUGGACUGCUUCUAAUCUGGCUUUAAUUCUUUAUUGGAUUAACCACUUUUCAAAUCUGACCUCGAAUCAGGUGGGACUACCCGCUGAACUUAAGCAUAUCAAUAGCGGAGGA